CCCAAAAUGGUCACGUUGACAGCUGUGGGAUCCCCAAUUUCUCUGUUACUGGGGCAGGAGGAAUAAAGUGUUGUUACCCUGAGUAUGUGAAUGAGGGACUAUGAAACUGUUUUAUGACAGAAGGUCUCACCUUCGUCUAAGUAACACUCACUAGACAAGGGACACGGGUUCCAAAACCCAGGAAAUUGAUAGAGAGACUGCUGAACUGACUUCACUUUGGGCCAAUUAUGCACCAGCACUGGGGCUCCCCUAUUAGAAGCUGAAAUCAAUAAAUGAGCUGAACUUACUGGGUGCUGUGUUAACUAGUGGGGGAGCCUGAAGAUAUAUUGCAAAGUUG